AUUGAACGCUGGCGGCAGGCCUAACACAUGCAAGUCGAGCGGAUGAAGGGAGCUUGCUCCUGGAUUCAGCGGCGGACGGGUGAGUAACGCCUAGGAAUCUGCCUGGUAGUGGGGGAUAACGUCCGGAAACGGGCGCUAAUACCGCAUACGUCCUGAGGGAGAAAGUGGGGGAUCUUCGGACCUCACGCUAUCAGAUGAGCCUAGGUCGGAUUAGCUAGUUGGUGGGGUAAAGGCCUACCAAGGCGACGAUCCGUAACUGGUCUGAGAGGAUGAUCAGUCACACUGGAACUGAGACACGGUCCAGACUCCUACGGGAGGCAGCAGUGGGGAAUAUUGGACAAUGGGCGAAAGCCUGAUCCAGCCAUGCCGCGUGUGUGAAGAAGGUCUUCGGAUUGUAAAGCACUUUAAGUUGGGAGGAAGGGCAGUAAGUUAAUACCUUGCUGUUUUGACGUUACCAACAGAAUAAGCACCGGCUAACUUCGU
rnacentral:rRNA from 1 species